UCGUAACAAGGUUUCCGUAGGUGAACCUGCGGAAGGAUCAUUACUGUGAUUUAGUACUACACUGCGUGAGCGGAACGAAAACAACAACACCUAAAAUGUGGAAUAUAGCAUAUAGUCGACAAGAGAAAUCUACGAAAAACAAACAAAACUUUCAACAACGGAUCUCUUGGUUCUCGCAUCGAUGAAGAGCGCAGCGAAAUGCGAUACCUAGUGUGAAUUGCAGCCAUCGUGAAUCAUCGAGUUCUUGAACGCACAUUGCGCCCCUCGGCAUUCCGGGGGGCAUGCCUGUUUGAGCGUCGUUUCCAUCUUGCGCGUGCGCAGAGUUGGGGGAGCGGAGCGGACGACGUGUAAAGAGCGUCGGAGCUGCGACUCGCCUGAAAGGGAGCGAAGCUGGCCGAGCGAACUAGACUUUUUUUCAGGGACGCUUGGCGGCCGAGAGCGAGUGUUGCGAGACAACAAAAAGCUCGACCUCAAAUCAGGUAGGAAUACCCGCUGAACUUAAGCAUAUCAAUAA
rnacentral:misc_RNA from 1 species